UACGAAGGGGACUAGCGUUAUUCGGAUUCACUGGGCGUAAAGGGUGCGCAGGCGGCCAAGUGUGUCAGGUGUGAAAUCCCGAGGCUUAACCUCGGAACUGCGCCUGAAACUACUUGGCUAGAGUACUGGAGAGGGUAACGGAAUUCACGGUGUAGCAGUGAAAUGCGUAGAUAUCGUGAGGAACACCAGAGGCGAAGGCGGUUACCUGGACAGUUACUGACGCUCAGGCACGAAAGCGUGGGGAGCAAAAGGG
rnacentral:rRNA from 1 species